CCCUUAGAUGUCCUGGGCUGCACGCGCGCUACACUGAUGUGUCCAGUAAGCACCUAACCUCUUCCGAAAGGAACGGGUAACCUUUGCAAAGCACAUCGUGAUGGGGAUAGAUUAUUGCAAUUAUUAGUCUUGAACGAGGAAUUCCUAGUAAGCACAAGUCAUCAGCUUGUGUUGAUUACGUCCCUGCCCUUUGUACACACCGCCCGUCGCUCCUACCGAUUGGGUGUGCUGGUGAAAUGUUCGGAUCGGCCGUUUGUCGCGGUUUCCGCGGCUCGUGGCUGAGAAGUUCAUUAAACCCUCCCACCUAGAGGAAGGAGAAGUCGUAACA
rnacentral:rRNA from 1 species